UACGUAGGGUGCGAGCGUUGUUCGGAUUUAUUGGGCUUAAAGCGUGCGUAGGUGGCUGAUUAAGUCAGGUGUGAAAGCCCGGAGCUUAACUGUGGAAUUGCCUGUGAUACUGAUGAGCUUGAGUGCGGUUGAGGGAGCUGGAAUUGGUGGUGUAGCGGUGAAAUGCAUAGAUACGACGAGGAACACCGAUGGCGAAGGCAGGCUGCUAAGCCGUCACUGACACUGAGGCACGAAAGCGUGGGGAGCAAACAGG
rnacentral:rRNA from 1 species